rnacentral:rRNA from 1 species
AGGACGAACGCUGGCGGCGUGCUUAACACAUGCAAGUUGAACGGACGGAUAUUGAAGCGACUUUUCGGAGUGGUGGAUAUAUUUGUUUAGUAGCGGACGGGUGAGUAAUGCAUGAGAACCUGCCCUUCAGAGGGGGACAACAGUUGGAAACGGCUGCUAAUACCCCAUAUGCCGAGAGGUGAAAGGAGCGAUCCGCUGAAGGAGUGGCUCAUGUCCUAUCAGCUAGUUGGUGAGGUAAGUGCUCACCAAGGCGAUGACGGGUAGCCGGCCUGAGAGGGCGACCGGCCACACUGGAACUGAGAUACAGUCCAGACUCCUACGGGAGGCAGCAGUGGGGAAUAUUGGGCAAUGGGCGGAGGCCCUGACCCAGCGACGCCGCGUGAGGGAAGAAGGCCUUUGGGUCGUAAACCUCUGUUGUAUGGGAAGAAGGAAGUGACGGUACCAUACGAGGAAGUCCCGGCUAACUACGUGCCAGCAGCCGC